GAAGCCGCGAGACCCCCACUGCUCUCUGCACCUGCUGACGUGCGCGCGGACGGAAGUGCUCUUCCAUGAAGCGUGGCGCGCGCGAUCCGGUACAGAGCUUUUUUCUGCCUCACCUCUCAAUCCAACCAGCCAUUAGCAAAGCUGUUGCCAGGGUCUUGUCUGUGUGCUGCACAUGCCUGGAAUGUCUGGAGAAACAGCAUCAUGUGUUAAUCUGACAAAUACCUUGCAUUCAGGACAUUGAGUGUGGUGGCCUAGAAAAUGGUGCAAACGUAGGUUAGAAACAUUUGAGUGACCUGUUUUUUUAAAUUUAUUUUAAAGACAAAAGUAUAAAUUAGAAUUACAACAGCUUACACCACUCAUAACUAUCAGCUUCUGGGGUUUCUAAUACUCACAAAAUGAUAUCAUAUCUUCAAAUGUGAUUAGCUUAAGUAGAGAACGAGAGGAGAGAGAUAAUAAGAAUAAGAUGAGAGAGGAGAGGAGAAGACAACAGCAGUGCUGCACUUGGACCCAUGGUGCUGAUAAGAGUGGUUGCCUAGCAACUGCAUCUAGGGGUGGGCCAACCAGGGUUUCACAGCAGCACUGUGCCUUGGCAGGGAGGACUUCAGACAUAGCUGGCCCACCCCUGGAUGCAGUUGAUAGGCAACCACUCUUAUCAGCACCAUGGGUCCAACAGCUCAACCCAUGGAUGGAUUUCAUUAUCUUUACUUUAUUUACAUACAAUUAAUAAAUGUCUAAUAACAUUGUCUUUAUCUAUUAAAAGUCUGUUACUGUA